rnacentral:rRNA from 1 species
GACGAACGUUGGCGGCGUGCUUAACACAUGCAAGUCGAACGGUAAGGCCCUUCGGGGUACACGAGUGGCGAACGGGUGAGUAACACGUGGGUGAUCUGCCCUGCACUUCGGGAUAAGCCUGGGAAACUGGGUCUAAUACCGGAUAGGACCCUGGGAUGCAUGUCCUGGGGUGGAAAGCUUUUGCGGUGUGGGAUGGGCCCGCGGCCUAUCAGCUUGUUGGUGGGGUGAUGGCCUACCAAGGCGACGACGGGUAGCCGGCCUGAGAGGGUGACCGGCCACACUGGGACUGAGAUACGGCCCAGACUCCUACGGGAGGCAGCAGUGGGGAAUAUUGCACAAUGGGCGCAAGCCUGAUGCAGCGACGCCGCGUGAGGGAUGACGGCCUUCGGGUUGUAAACCUCUUUCAGCACCGACGAAGCGCAAGUGACGGUAGGUGCAGAAGAAGGACCGGCCAACUACGUGCCAGCAGCCGCGGUAA